AUUGAACGCUGGCGGCAGGCCUAACACAUGCAAGUCGAGCGGAGCGGCGGACGGGUGAGUAAUGCUUAGGAAUCUGCCUAUUAGUGGGGGACAACAUCUCGAAAGGGAUGCUAAUACCGCAUACUAUCAGAUGAGCCUAGGUCGGAUGAGCUAGUUGGUGGGGUAAAGGCCUACAAAGGCGACGAUCCGUAACUGGUCUGAGAGGAUGAUCAGUCAAACUGGAACUGAGAAACGGUCCAGACUCCUACGGGAGGCAGCAGUGGGGAAUAUUGGACAAUGGGCGAAAGCCUGAUCCAGCCAUGCCGCGUGUGUGAAGAAGGCCUUCGGGUUGUAAAGCACUUUCAGCGGGGAGGCGUUACCCGCAGAAGAAGCACCGGCUAACUCCGUGCCAGCAGCCGCGGUAAUUC
rnacentral:rRNA from 1 species